UAUGACAUACUGCCUGCUUGCAGCUAACUGCAUAUUAGCCCACUCACAAGCGGCAAAGCAGCUACACUCUCUUCAGGAAGCCUCUGAGCCUAGCUCUUUGGAAUGGAAAAUUCGUCCUUCUCUUCUCGGACGCCCUUCAGUUCUGCCUGUAGCUCAGCGCCAGUCUGCUCUGCCCUGUGCAGCUGAGCCUCCAGGUAAGUUUUCUUUUCCCACAAGGCUUCCCUGCUCGUCUCUGCCUCUGCCAGGUCCACCUGCAAAGCACUUCUCAGCUGCUCUGCCGCCUCCGCUCUGCUGCACAGGGCCUGGUUCUCCUGCUCCAGCUGCUGGCCAGAAAGAGAAGGGAGUGCAGGGCAGCCAAGGUAACCAGCUGGAGUUCCCACGAGCUUCUCAAGUGCUGCCACUGAAACCCACCUACAGCUGAACACAGGGCUGCUUUCAGGAGAAGGGGGCGCUCCGCUCAUGUGACCUGGAGCCUGUACUCUCGCACUAGCUACAGCUGGGAGUGGACCUGCCUUUGCCUAUCCACUGAGGACUCCCUAUUAAAGCAUCGGCUUUGCCCACAAACGGCUAACCCUCAGAUAUGGACCAGCCCUGUCCUGGGAAUCACAUCUUUGCUCACCUGG